rnacentral:tRNA from 1 species
GCCUGGGAUAGCUCAGUUGGGAGAGCAUGAGACUCUUAAUCUCAAGGUUGUGGGUUUGAGCCCCAUGUUGGGCA